ACUCCUACGGGAGGCAGCAGUGGGGAAUAUUGGACAAUGGGCGAAAGCCUGAUCCAGCCAUGCCGCGUGUGUGAAGAAGGUCUUCGGAUUGUAAAGCACUUUAAGUUGGGAGGAAGGGCAGUAAGUUAAUACCUUGCUGUUUUGACGUUACCAACAGAAUAAGCACCGGCUAACUUCGUGCCAGCAGCCGCGGUAAUACGAAGGGUGCAAGCGUUAAUCGGAAUUACUGGGCGUAAAGCGCGCGUAGGUGGUUCAGCAAGUUGGAUGUGAAAUCCCCCGGGCUCAACCUGGGAACUGCAUCCAAAACUACUGAGCUAGAGUACGGUAGAGGGUGUGGAAUUUCCUGUGUAGCGGUGAAAUGCGUAGAUAUAGGAAGGAACACCAGUGGCGAAGGCGACCACUGGACUGAUACUGACACUGAGGUGCGAAAGCGUGGGAGCAAACAGGAUUAGAUA
rnacentral:rRNA from 1 species